GUCUAGGACCGUGCCACCUUAAACAUGCCUGAUCUUGUCUGAUCUGGGAAGCUAAACAGGGCUGGGCCUGGUCAGUAUGUGGGUAGGAGAAACCCAGCUUCAUACUGGAGA
rnacentral:rRNA from 1 species